GCCCCGAGCGCAGGCUGCCCGCCCGCCCCCAGCCCCGCGGCUCCUCUCCCGCAUCUCCGAUGCCCCGGGCACUUUCCAUAGCGGUGACAGGGUCGUUGAGAGCUGUCGGGAGGGACGGCCAGACCACUGUCGCCAAGUGCGAUCUCAAGAACUUUCGGGGGGUUUCCUCUUUGUUUGGGCACGCGGGCCACAGUCGGGUUAUUACCCACGGGGGAGGGGAGCGGCGGCGGGUGGUGGGAGAGAGGAGUCUGCCCAGCGAGAGGCCGUAGACAGGAUAUUAGUGGAAAUAAUGCCGUGGUUGUCAGGAAACGCGAGUGCAGCCACAUGGCUACUGCCAGUUAUGCAGCGAGGAUAUCCGGUGGCUGCGAAGUCUGUAAUUUAGAAUAAAAAGAGCUCUCUCAAGACCCGAGAGGCUGACCUCAGCGCCGCGUGGCGGUGGUGCGCCCGGCACCCUCCGUGGAGAAGGUCCAGGUUGUGACAGUCUAGACAAUGGAAAGGCAGUGGUCGAGUAGCAGGACAGAUGCCGGAGAAGGACUCAAUUCUGGAUCCUCUGUCUCCUAAGGACAUAACACAGUACUGUGAACCCAGUCUCACACUUGUCUGGACAUAACUCUAAACAAGCUUUUUAAAGGCCAGCUCGAUUUUUCAAGUUGUGGUCUUGCGGACUUUACAAAGUGGGUAAUGCUAUUUGACUGUUGUUCAGAAAGGCAGAAACGUGUAUCUGCAGUGCCGUGAUGUUGAGAGGGGUACAGGAUUACACAGCUGUCUUCUUAGAUAAAUCUGACCUACUUAGCCUUCUCUGGAGGUAUUUUUCAUGCUGACUCAUGAACAACAGGAAAGUUUUGGCCCAUUAAGUAACAUCCAUGUUUUGAAGUAAACUUGUUCUCCAAAGAAGACUCCUGUGUCAUUUGUGCUAUAUUUCCUUUAUUUCCCUGUAGAUGGUAGAUACUCUAUUAUCACAGAAUAUGAAGGCUGGAAAAAUUUUGGCUAUUAAAUAAUAGCCAACUGCCUCAUUUUACAGAAGAAGCUGCCCACAAAGGAUGAGAAAUAUCCAAGUUAUAGUGGCAAAGUUAUGGAGAAGUAUAUGUGCAAUAAUGUUAACUAAAAAAAUUUAACGUGAACAUGAAUUAACUCAUUAUGCAAAUUAGGCACACAAGAUAAGCAUGGAAGACACACUAAGGAGAUAUCUUACUAGAGUAUAUCAGUUUUAAAUUAGGUCCAU